rnacentral:rRNA from 1 species
CAACGGCACCACGAGGGUUGUACUGUCUCCUUUUUCUAAUCAGUGAAACUAAUCUCCCCGUGAAGAAGCGGGGAUACUACUAUAAGACGAGAAGACCCCAUGGAGCUUUAAACCCAACUACACCCCUAUUUACAACAACUACUUAACCAAUUGGACACUGUAUGCUUGGUUUUAGGUUGGGGCGACCACGGAGUAAAAAAUAACCUCCACGAUAAAUGGGCUUACCCCCUUAUCU